AUCUUUAAGUGUUGGGGGUUUUUCGACACAUUUAGUGCUUCAGCUAAAGCAUUAAGCAUUCCGCCUGGGGAGUACGGACGCAAGCAUGAAACUCAAAGGAAUUGACGGGGGCCCGCACAAGCGGUGGAGCAUGUGGUUUAAUUCGAUGAUACGCGAGGAACCUUACCAAGGCUUAAAUGUAGAUUGACCGAUUUGGAAACAGAUCUUUCGCAAGACAAUUUACAAGGUGCUGCAUGGUUGUCGUCAGCUCGUGCCGUGAGGUGUCAGGUUAAGUCCUAUAACGAGCGCAACCCCUGUUGUUAGUUGCCAGCGAGUCAUGUCGGGAACUCUAACGAGACUGCCAGGGCAAACUGUGAGGAAGGUGGGGAUGACGUCAAAUCAUCACGGCCCUUACGCCUUGGGCUACACACGUGCUACGAUGGCCGGUACAGAGAGCAGCCACCUCGCGAGGGGGAGCGAAUCUAUAAAACCGGUCACAGUUCGGAUCGGAGUCCGCAACUCAACUCCGUGAAGCUGGAAUCGCUAGUAAUCGGAUAUCAGCCAUGAUCCGGUGAAUACGUUCCCGGGCCUUGUACACACCGCCCGUCAAGCCAUGGAAGCUGGGGGUGCCUGAAGUCGGUGACCGCAAGGAGCUGCCUAGGGUAAAACUGGUAACUAGGGCUAAGUCGUAACAAGGUAACAAGUCGUAGAGUUUGAUCAUGGCU
rnacentral:rRNA from 1 species